AGCGACUGUGCAGGUUACCGCGGCUGCUGGCACGGAGUUAGCCGGUGCUUCUUCUGCGAGUAACGUCACAGAUGUAAGGUAUUAACUUACACCCUUUCCUCCUCGCUGAAAGUGCUUUACAACCCGAAGGCCUUCUUCACACACGCGGCAUGGCUGCAUCAGGGUUUCCCCCAUUGUGCAAUAUUCCCCACUGCUGCCUCCCGUAGGAGUCUGGGCCGUGUCUCAGUCCCAGUGUGGCUGAUCAUCCUCUCAGACCAGCUAGGGAUCGUCGCCUACGGUGAGCCUUUACCUCACCUACUAGCUAAUCCCACCUGGGCUUAUCCAUCAGCGCAAGGCCCGAAGGUCCCCUGCUUUCCCCCGUAGGGCGUAUGCGGUAUUAGCAGUCGUUUCCAACUGUUAUCCCCCACAAAUGGGCAAAUUCCCAGGCAUUACUCACCCGUCCGCCGCUCGUCAUCUUCAAAAGCAAGCUUUUGAAAUGUUACCGCUCGACUUGCAUGUGUUAGGCCUGCCGCCAGCGUUCAAU
rnacentral:rRNA from 1 species